ACGGAGGGUGCAAGCGUUAAUCGGAAUUACUGGGCGUAAAGGGUACGUAGGUGGUUUGUUAAGUUGGAUGUGAAAGCCCUGGGCUUAACCUGGGAACUGCAUUCAAAACUGGCGGACUUGAGUUUGGCAGAGGCUAGUGGAAUUCCAGGUGUAGCGGUGAAAUGCGUAGAGAUCUGGAGGAACAUCAGUGGCGAAGGCGACUGGCUGGGCUAAAACUGACACUGAAGUACGAAAGCGUGGGGAGCAAACAGG
rnacentral:rRNA from 1 species